rnacentral:rRNA from 1 species
AUUGAACGCUGGCGGCAGGCCUAACACAUGCAAGUCGAACGGUAACAGGAAACAGCUUGCUGUUUCGCUGACGAGUGGCGGACGGGUGAGUAAUGUCUGGGAAACUGCCUGAUGGAGGGGGAUAACUACUGGAAACGGUAGCUAAUACCGCAUAACGUCGCAAGACCAAAGAGGGGGACCUUCGGGCCUCUUGCCAUCGGAUGUGCCCAGAUGGGAUUAGCUUGUUGGUGGGGUAACGGCUCACCAAGGCGACGAUCCCUAGCUGGUCUGCGAGGAUGACCAGCCACACUGGAACUGAGACACGGUCCAGACUCCCACGGGAGGCAGCAGUGGGGAAUAUUGCACAAUGGGCGCAAGCCUGAUGCAGCCAUGCCGCGUGUAUGAAGAAGGCCUUCGGGUUGUAAAGUACUUUCAGCGGGGAGGAAGGGAGUAAAGUUAAUACCUUUACUCAUUGACGUUACCCGCAGAAGAAGCACCGGCUAACUCCGUGCCAGCAGCCGCGGUAA